GGGUUGUGAGGUUAAGCGACUAAGCGUACACGGUGGAUGCCCUGGCAGUCAGAGGCGAUGAAGGGCGUGCUAAUCUGCGAUAAGCGCCGGUAAGGUGAUAUGAACCGUUAUAACCGGCGAUACCCGAAUGGGGAAACCCAGUGUGAUUCGUCACACUAUCAUUAACUGAAUCCAUAGGUUAAUGAGGCGAACCGGGGGAACUGAAACAUCUAAGUACCCCGAGGAAAAGAAAUCAACCGAGAUUCCCCCAGUAGCGGCGAGCGAACGGGGAGGAGCCCAGAGCCUGAAUCAGCAUGUGUGUUAGUGGAAGCGUCUGGAAAGGCGCGCGAUACAGGGUGACAGCCCCGUACACAAAAGCGCAUGUGCUGUGAGCUCGAUGAGUAGGGCGGGACACGUGGUAUCCUGUCUGAAUAUGGGGGGACCAUCCUCCAAGGCUAAAUACUCCUGACUGACCGAUAGUGAACCAGUACCGUGAGGGAAAGGCGAAAAGAACCCCGGCGAGGGGAGUGAAAAAGAACCUGAAACCGUGUACGUACAAGCAGUGGGAGCCCCACCACUAAGCCAGUGGUGAACUCCACAUACGCAUCCUUUGCUGAGGAUACGGUUAACGGAGCGAAAGCGACGUUCAACCGCAAAAGAAGCAGAGGGGGCUUAGUGGUGGGGUGACUGCGUACCUUUUGUAUAAUGGGUCAGCGACUUAUAUUCUGUAGCAAGGUUAACCGAAUAGGGGAGCCGUAGGGAAACCGAGUCUUAACCGGGCGUUAAGUUGCAGGGUAUAGACCCGAAACCCGGUGAUCUAGCCAUGGGCAGGUUGAAGGUUGGGUAACACUAACUGGAGGACCGAACCGACUAAUGUUGAAAAAUUAGCGGAUGACCUGUGGCUGGGGGUGAAAGGCCAAUCAAACCGGGAGAUAGCUGGUUCUCCCCGAAAGCUAUUUAGGUAGCGCCUCGUGAAUUCAUCUCCGGGGGUAGAGCACUGUUUCGGCUAGGGGGCCAUCCCGGCUUACCAACCCGAUGCAAACUGCGAAUACCGGAGAAUGUUAUCACGGGAGACACACGGCGGGUGCUAACGUCCGUCGUGAAGAGGGAAACAACCCAGACCGCCAGCUAAGGUCCCAAAGUCAUGGUUAAGUGGGAAACGAUGUGGGAAGGCCCAGACAGCCAGGAUGUUGGCUUAGAAGCAGCCAUCAUUUAAAGAAAGCGUAAUAGCUCACUGGUCGAGUCGGCCUGCGCGGAAGAUGUAACGGGGCUAAACCAU
rnacentral:rRNA from 1 species